rnacentral:lncRNA from 1 species
GUCGCUAAAGGUGGUGAGCAGGUUAAUUUGUAUAUUUUCAUUUUUAUUUUAUCAUAUUGUGGUCAAAAUAUUAUAAAUAUUUAUUUAAAAUACUAUUUAGAACUUCUGAUUAUCAAACAGGUUUUAUUUAAACUGUUCAGAGGGUUAAAAUGGUAAAAUACUGUCAUUCAGACAUUUUGGAAAAAUUAAUUAUCAAACAAUAUUUUUUCAUUCAGACACAAUUCUAUUCAGAUGCUCUAUAUUAUUCAGACGUCUAAACUGUUCAGGUCUUAACACUCAGUUUUAUCAAACACCACCUAAGCCAUUAAAAAGUGCAAAUAUUCAGAUUUUGUCAUCACAGGCCAGUCAAGAUUAUAUUGAAUCAUCCGACUCGUUAGAAUCACUUCUCUCCGGUUCCCCAGCAUUUGUUCCGGCCUCUGAAACAUCAGGCUUCAGUUUACUUGCAUUACGACCACCUUCAGCUUGCUCAGCCACUUCAACAAGUGAACCGCUAACUAGCUAGGUCAAGGAAUAAAAAUUGUGAAUGAAUCCCACUAGCCUAUUUUUCUACUGUUACGAAUCAAAUAUGCGUUCCACCAUUCAGGCCCUGCACCCACCCCAGCCCCCAAAAGAUGAGCAGUUCCAGCUUUCAACUCUCUUAAUAGCUAAAUUGGCUUAUAUUCACAUUAAUUAUCUGGCGAAACUUGGUAAAGGAAUAUCAAAGGGCAUAUAUAGUAUAGACCAUUGAAAAGUGUAUACAAAUCUCAUUCUCAGUGUAGGAUGGCAAAGUUUUUGGUAGUGUGUGACCUAUAUUAGUGAUUUAGUGCAGAAGCUCAUAAUUUGUCUAAAGGUUCAGUUAUUCAUGCUGUACAAGAAACAUGUGUAUUGCUACAAAGUUAUGUAGAAGUUAUUUAAUGCAAGGAUAUCAGCAUUUUCAGCAGUUCCACCAGCCAUGAUUUUCAGCAGAUCUUUCUCUACUCGUCUCACAAGCUCAGGCUGAAAAGAGUAAAAAAUCACAAUCAGUACAGAAGUUCAAAGAAAGAAGGGGUUUAGAAAACGUAGUGACGAGCCACAUGAUACACCGACAUAUACUGAUAAAUUUUUCG